rnacentral:rRNA from 1 species
CGGGUGAGUAACACGUGAGUGACCUGCCUUUUAGACUGGAACAACUUACCGAAAGGUGAGCUAAUGCCGGAUGAGUUAUAUAAGUGCAUGUUUAUAUAGGAAAAGUUGGGGAGACCUGACGCUGAAAGAUGGACUCGCGUCCCAUCAGCUAGUUGGUAGGGUAAUGGCCUACCAAGGCGACGAUGGGUAGCCGGCCUGAGAGGGUGGCCGGCCACACUGGGACUGAGACACGGCCCAGACUCCUACGGAAGGCAGCAG